CCUACGGGUGGCAGCAGUAGGGAAUAUUGGUCAAUGGGCGCAAGCCUGAACCAGCUAUGCCGCGUGUAGGAUGACGGCUCUCGGAUUGUUAACCCCUUUUGUUAAGGAAGAUAACGACGGUAUGUAUCUAUUUCUCACCGGCUAACACCGUUACAGCAGCCGCGGUAAUACGAAGGGUGCACGCGUUAGGCGGAAUCACUGGGCGUAAAGAGGGUGUAGGCGGGUUAGCAAGUCAGAUGUGAAAUCCCUUGGCUUAACCAUAGAACUGCAUAUGUGACUGGUGGUCUAGAGUGUGUGAGAGGUAGGUGGAAUUCUUGGUGUAGCAGUGAAAUGCGUAGAGAUCAGGAAGAAUACCGAUUGCGAAGGCAACCUCCUAGGACACAACUGACGCUGAUGCGCGAAAGCGUGGGGAGCAAACAGGAUUAGAUACCCCUGUAGUC
rnacentral:rRNA from 1 species